GACGAACGCUGGCGGCGUGCUUAACACAUGCAAGUCGAACGGAAAGGCCCUGCUUUUGUGGGGUGCUCGAGUGGCGAACGGGUGAGUAACACGUGAGUAACCUGCCCUUGACUUUGGGAUAACUUCAGGAAACUGGGGCUAAUACCGGAUAGGAGCUCCUGCUGCAUGGUGGGGGUUGGAAAGUUUCGGCGGUUGGGGAUGGACUCGCGGCUUAUCAGCUUGUUGGUGGGGUAGUGGCUUACCAAGGCUUUGACGGGUAGCCGGCAUGAGAGGGUGAACGGCCACAUUGGGACUGAGAUACGGCGCAGAGUCCUACGGGAGGCAGCAGUGGGGAAUAUUGCACAAUGGGCGGAAGCCUGAUGCAGCAACGCCGCGUGCGGGAUGACGGCCUUCGGGUUGUAAACCGCUUUAGCCUGUGACGAAGCGUGAGUGACGGUAAUGGGUAAAGAAGCACCGGCUAACUACGUG
rnacentral:rRNA from 1 species